CGGACAGAAGGGAGCUUGCUCCCGGAUGUUAGCGGCGGACGGGUGAGUAACACGUGGGUAACCUGCCUGUAAGACUGGGAUAACUCCGGGAAACCGGAGCUAAUACCGGAUAGUUCCUUGAACCGCAUGGUUCAAGGAUGAAAGACGGUUUCGGCUGUCACUUACAGAUGGACCCGCGGCGCAUUAGCUAGUUGGUGAGGUAACGGCUCACCAAGGCGACGAUGCGUAGCCGACCUGAGAGGGUGAUCGGCCACACUGGGACUGAGACACGGCCCAGACUCCUACGGGAGGCAGCAGUAGGGAAUCUUCCGCAAUGGACGAAAGUCUGACGGAGCAACGCCGCGUGAGUGAUGAAGGUUUUCGGAUCGUAAAGCUCUGUUGUUAGGGAAGAACAAGUGCAAGAGUAACUGCUUGCACCUUGACGGUACCUAACCAGAAAGCCACGGCUAACUACGUGCCAGCAGCCGCGGUAAUACGUAAGUGGCAAGCGUUGUCCGGAAUUAUUGGGCGUAAAGGGCUCGCAAGCGGUUUCUUAUGUCUGAUGUGAAAACCCCGGGCUCAACCGCGGAGGGUCAUUGGAAACUGGGAAACUUGAGUGCAGAAGAGGAGAGUGGAAUUCCACGUGUAGCGGUGAAAUGCGUAGAGAUGUGGAGGAACACCAGUGGCGAAGGCGACUCUCUGGUCUGUAACUGACGCUGAGGAGCGAAAGCGUGGGGAGCGAACAGGAUUAGAUACCCUGGUAGUCCACGCCGUAAACGAUGAGUGCUAAGUGUUAGGGGGUUUCCGCCCCUUAGUGCUGCAGCUAACGCAUUAAGCACUCCGCCUGGGGAGUACGGUCGCAAGACUGAAACUCAAAGGAAUUGACGGGGGCCCGCACAAGCGGUGGAGCAUGUGGUUUAAUUCGAAGCAACGCGAAGAACCUUACCAGGUCUUGACAUCCUCUGACAACCCUAGAGAUAGGGCUUUCCCUUCGGGGACAGAGUGACAGGUGGUGCAUGGUUGUCGUCAGCUCGUGUCGUGAGAUGUUGGGUUAAGUCCCGCAACGAGCGCAACCCUUGAUCUUAGUUGCCAGCAUUCAGUUGGGCACUCUAAGGUGACUGCCGGUGACAAACCGGAGGAAGGUGGGGAUGACGUCAAAUCAUCAUGCC
rnacentral:rRNA from 1 species